rnacentral:pre_miRNA from 1 species
AGUGCAAUUGCUGGAUCAUAUGGUAAGACUAUUUUUAGCUUUCUAAGAAACUGCCAGACUGUCUUCCAAAGUGGCUGUACCAUUUGCAUUCCCAUCAACAAU